AAGACGAGAUGUAAAUUUGGAGGGGGAGAAUAUUACGAAAAAACGUGAAAGGGUCGUGGCCGUCGUGCAGCCUACCAUCAACUAUUUGUUCAAAAUCAUUGUUUUCUACUGAAUGUGCCAUCGAAAUGAUACAGGAGUCAUAAUUGUAUUGGACUUGCUAGAUCACCAACCCCAGCAUAGACCAAUCUCUCAUUUCAUCUUCUCGAGAGAAGAUUGGAUAACUGAUCUGUGGUUUCACAUGUUCUAAACUCCAGCUUUGUAAAUUUGCAUGGCAGACUUUAUGAGAAGUCAUGUCCUUU
rnacentral:lncRNA from 1 species